rnacentral:sRNA from 1 species
ACACACACAUGUAUGAAACACACACAUGGUAGCUCACGACCAUCUACGAAUCCGAUUCUGGUGGAUCUGAAGCCUUCUUCCAACCUUCACUGGCACCAGACACACAAAUGAUAUAAAUACAUGUGUGUAGGCAGAUCUUUACAAAUAAAUUAAAACAUUACCAGCUUUUGGUUUCUCUUUUGUCUUUGGGUGGUUUGCAUGCACGUAUGUCUCUCUACUACUUGCGUGCCUGGUGCCUACAGAGCGUGUCGGACCCCCCUGGAACCAGAGUUAUAGAUUGAAGUGGGAACUUAAGGGUUUUUUUGGAAAGUCGUUCAGAUGGUGUUUUGCUGGAGUGAACACGUGAAAGAACAUUUCAUUAAAGUGGACACAGGUGUGAAAGGCUAAGGCCGACUUGUGAAGGAAUGUUUGGCUGAAGCAGACCGAUGAAAGGACAUUCUGCUAAGGCAAACACAAGAAUGGACACGUGAUAAAGGAUUCUGGACACGUGAUGAGGGAUUCUGGACACGUGAUGAAGGAUUCUUUGCUAACAGCACGCAUGCGUCGGUCCACCUCACAUUGCGUAGUUGGGACUCCACGGAGAGAAAUGAACCAGUAAACCUCUGAUGGUCUGCUACAGUUUCUUGCUGCUUCUGUGGACUUGGGCUGAUUGGCGGAGUAACGUCAGCUGAGACAGACUCACGUGCUGAGGCAGGACCCAUGGAGGACCUGCCAUGUUUAGAGGGUACAGACAGUACUCAGCAGUGACGGAGGCUGAGCUUGGCUUGCUUACAGAGCCAACCAUGCAACACUUGUGGGUCUCGCCUCUUUGCUGAUCUUCACUUCCCUAAGAGAGGCACAGCCGAGAACUUCUGGCCUUCUUCUUGGUCCCUCCGGCUGACUAGAGCUGAGGCACCCCCGGCUGUCUCUGCUAGGUAGUGUUACUGUUGCUGAUUCCUGUUUGCUACCCGACUCUACUGAACUAGAUGCUGGCGUGGUGUAUCGGUGAAGUGUUUGCCAGUGGAUCGAGCUGCUGCUACUAACCUGGGAACUGAACAGCUGAUUUCCAGACAGCACAGAACACCUGGAGUGGAUUACAGUUCUUCUCAUGCAGUUGUGUGUCUGGAAUGGAAACCCUGACAUCUAAGGCAGGACAUUUCAGAAGAACUGGGAUGGCUCUUGGCAUCAUUGGGAGAACCUGAAAGGGAAUACUAAGGGGACAGAGCUACAGAAUUUCCCAUCUGAGGAACUUGUACUUGUGGGGAAGUUGAUCAGAAACACCAGAGUCUGAAUUCUUCAGGCAGCUGAAUCUUGGUUCAAAGUAAGUUAAAAAGAAUUACAUAGAAGAGAAAUUCAACUCUGAAAUUCAAAACAUAUGUCAUUGAAUACCCUGAUGUAAACUUAGGAAAACAAAUGAAAGGACAGACUUUUUUCUAGUUAUUUGUUGACAUUCAGUCAUUCAGUCAUUCAUUUAUUUCUGGGGAGCUUCAGGCAGCUGAGGAGAUUUGUACACUGUCUUGGGUGAACAGACUACAACCAGGAACCAAGAAGCAUGUGGGGAACAUGUUGCAGGUUCAGCUUCAGAACACAUUGAGUCAUUUCAACAAAAACUGUGAUAAUUAAAGAGGAAAAAUUACAUUUAGCCCAGAUAUAAAAUGGGGAUAAGACUGAGCUCUUUUGGAAGUCAAUGCCAGAGAACACUCAGGUAAGAUAUCUGCCUACCAGGGAGGAAAAUAAACAAAGGGUGGCUGUCUGCUCCUAUGUGUGCAAAUACAGGUGUGACUCAUAAAUCAACAUCAGUUGUCACUGUAAAAGGAAAGGUGCCCAAAAGUGUGAAAGAAGACACAAGUACAUCAUCCGUGAUAUAUAAACCUGGUAAAGACGUUUGGUUCACAAGAGAAUUGUUUAGAAUGGUUCUUUCAAAAUUUUGCUCAGCAUUUCCAACUUAAUGAUCUAGGAUUUCAUGAGGAAGAUAGGGCAUUGGUACUUCUGGACAACUCUCCAGUUCACCCUUCUGCGGAACCAUCAGCCAGUGAGGAUGGUAGAAUAAGAUACACGUUCUCUCCCCCUAAUACUUCUACUUUGAGUCAACCAGUGAAUCAAGCUGUAACCUUGAGCUGCAAAGAACUUUAGAGAUGGAAACAACUUGAAGAGAGUCUUAGAAACUUUGGAGAAAGUGAGGAUGAACAGGAAAAAGAAAGAGAAGGGAAUUUCCAAGAUUAAGAUGUAGAAUGUGAAAAGUGCACUUUUUAACUGGGAUGAAGUAAAACAAUUAACAGUAGCAGACGCAUGGGAAAUCUCCUUUACAAAGAAGAAACUGUGUGACCUUCAAGGGCAAGAGCGUGGGAGCUAGAGGGAUCCUUGAGAAAGGUGCAGAAACCAAGCUGGGCAUGGAGGAUAUGGUUAAAUGAAGAUGAUGAAGAGAAAGGUUGUUUCUCCCCGCCUCUCUCCACCCUUCACCCCUGAAAACCCAAAAGGUGAGACAGUAAAGGAAGCUGUGCAAAGGACGGAGCUGGAAAUUGGACAGGAAUUUAAGUUCCACACUGGACUACAUUCUUAACUUUCCUGAUGCCAUACCUGAAUUUUAAAUACUUCAUUUCACACUAAGAGAUGCAACAAAAAUAUAGCCAAGAAAGAACUGGAGAGUAAAAUCCUUUUAAGAAUUGGUAGGUUUUUGAAAACUAGACUUCCUAAUAUUAAGGAUACUGUCAAUAUGCCUUCAACUUCUGGUUCUAGUAAUCAGACUAUGUAAAGGUAAUUGGAAUAUAUGAUACUGUUGAUACCGUUUUUAAUCAAACAUUAUUUUCAUAUCAAUGCUCACUUAUGCAUUGGCUAGAAUAUAGUUUGAAAAUAAAUGUGAAUUCCCAUAAAUGUAUGAAUAUCAUUUUCUAUUUACAAAUCAAGGAUAUGAAUAAUGAAUUAUCAUCCUAAAUUAUAUAAAUUGUAAUGGCUAUGCUAAAAACAUAGGUUUAAAUUCUACCAUGUAAUUUUGGCUAAUACACAUUAGUACUAUGCACCAAGCAAGACCUUUGUUUCAUUCUCCAGAAUUAAAAAAUAGUAACGUACGUCACAUAAAGGAGGAAGGGGCUCCUCCUAAGCCCCUAGAAGGAACUCAUAAUGAGCUAAGCUGGCCACGAACAGAUUUAUGACUGCCUACAUGGUCUUAUUACCCAUAGGGAAGUACAACCAAAGAGAAUUAAAAUAUUACAAGACGGGAGCUAGACAGUUGGCUCAGUGGUUAAGAACACUGGCUGGGGCUGGAGAGAUGGCUCAGCGGUUAAGAGCACUGACUGCUUUUCCAGAGGUCCUGAGUUCAAUUCCCAGCAACCACAUGGUGGUUCACAACCAUCUGUAAUGAGGUCUGAUGCCCUCUUCUGGUGCGUCUGAAGAUAGCGUACAGUGUACUCAUAUACAUAUAAUAAAUAAAUAUUAAAGAACAUUGGCUGUUCUCCAGGUGAUCCACGUUCAAUUUCUAGUCCCUAUAUGGUAGUCCGUUCUAGCCCAGGGGAUCUCAGCUCCCCCUGCACCAUGCCUGCCUGAAUGCUGCCAUGUUUCUGCCUUGAUGACAAUGGACUGAACCUCUGAACCUGUAAGCCAGCCAAGAAUUAAAUGUUGUCUUUAUAA